rnacentral:lncRNA from 1 species
CGUCCUUUCGGUAAAAAGAUCUCUUAAAGGUAAAAAUGGAGAAAAAAGCUCUGACGGUGGAGCCAAUUCCAAAUCCAAGACGGAAGAUUGAAGAAAUUCAAAGGCUAGGAUUUGAAAGAGGAGAGAAUUAGGAUUAAAGGGGAGGAUAGGUUAAGAAAUGAAGGGGGGAGAAUAAGUUUUAGAAGGGUCGGAGAGCUGGCUUCAUGCUUCGGACGGAGAAAAAA